rfam:Dictyocaulus viviparus strain HannoverDv2000 D_viviparus-1.0_Cont58.68, whole genome shotgun sequence.
GAUCUCGUAGUGUAGUGGUUAUCACAUCUGCCUUACACACAGAAGGUCGGCGGUUCGAGUCAGCCCGCCAUCA